ACCUGGGACUGUUACAGAUUCUCAGAGAUCUGGAGCUCAAAAAGUAGCGGAGACUCCCUCCUGAGCUUGUCAACCUGACAGACCUCAGAAAGCAGGGAACCCUAUAAUCACCACCACUGAACGAGCCCAGGCUAGCCUGCUGGAUGAGUAAGGAAGGACACAUGGCCAAGUCAUCCCCUGCCUUAUAUAGAGUCAACAACCAGACAUAAGAAAGAGAAUGCCUUCUGGGAGGUUGUGAUCACCGGAUGGCUGGCCCUCAGCAGCCAUUGAAGCCUACAAGUCAGAUUGCUUAGGGGUUCAUCGGAAGUGACCCCUUUGUUUCUCCGAAGCUCCUCCUGCCAAGCCCCUUAGGUCUACAAAACCCCCCUGCUUUCUGUUCUUGGGGAGGCAGAUUUGCUCCAACCCAGGCUCCCACCUACUUGUUUUGGCCAGUUCCAAUAAAUCUUCCUCCAUCUCCCAGU
rnacentral:lncRNA from 1 species